CGAACGCUGGCGGCGUGCUUAACACAUGCAAGUCGUACGGUAAGGCCCUUUCGGGGGUACACGAGUGGCGAACGGGUGAGUAACACGUGAGUAACCUGCCCACAACUUUGGGAUAACGCUAGGAAACUGGUGCUAAUACUGUAUAUGUGCUCCUGCUGCAUGGUGGGGGUUGGAAAGCUCCGGCGGUUGUGGAUGGACUCGCGGCCUAUCAGCUUGUUGGUGGGGUAGUGGCCUACCAAGGCGGCGACGGGUAGCCGGCCUGAGAGGGUGACCGGCCACAUUGGGACUGAGAUACGGCCCAGACUCCGACGGGAGGCAGCAGUGGGGAAUAUUGCACAAGGGGCGCAAGCCUGAUGCAGCAACGCCGCGGGCGGGAUGACGGCCUUGGGGUUGGAAACCGCUUUCAGCAGGGACGAAGCUUUUUGUGACGGUACCUGCAGAAGAAGCACCGGCUAACUACGUG
rnacentral:rRNA from 1 species